CACGCUUUUCUCACAAUAAGGAAAUCCUUCAUUAUUAUUGUUAGUUUAUACAAAGAAUUAUUUUUCACUUUUUAGUUUGAUAUGCUUUAAAAGCGUGUUUUUUUAGUUUUUUUUAAACUAUAUUUAUUUUUAAUUUUUUAGUUUGAUGUGAGAAACCUCAAAAUUUGUUAAAAUAUGAACUAUGACAUGAAGUAUUGGUUAAGUAAAUCGAUACUUUGGCAGCAUUUAAUAUCUACUCGUAACAUUUCAUUGGCUAAUUGUUACAUUAUUUGCGACCAAGUUCUAUUGACGACUUUACGAAUUAUUACUUAUAAUCGAAUCAUUUCUUCUAAAGCUUCACUGUUACAUGGGGUUUUACCUGUCAACUUUGAACAGUCCAGUUCUUCAAUUCGAAUACAGUCCAAAGAUCUACAACGACUAAUUGCUACAUAAGCUUGUUCAGCAGCAAACAGUCGAGAGACCAGAUAAAUUACUGCAUGUUCUACUGUACAACCUUGCAUCUUAUAACCGGUCGACGCUCAAAUCAGUAUGCUAUUUAAAUGUCACUAAAACUAGUUUUAUAUAGAUUUUGCAUACUUUUAAGCGCAUCUUUUUGGUGAGCUGCUUAAACUUACUAUUGCCUUCCUACAGUGUCGCUCAAAUAUUCCACGUUUCAGUACCACUUAAAAAAGUUACAAACAUACAUACAUACAUACAUACAAGUGAAGCUAAUAAAAGCGUAUUAAAAAAGGAGUUUUCUACUACAGUUGCUUCUCGCAGGCAUUUUGAAAACUAGUAUCUGAAUUUUUUUUUACUACAAAAAUUUUAUUAUAAGUAUUAAUUUUUUUAUUACCUAAAAGUCACAUGUUUUGCAUUAUUUGAUAUUAUUUCUUCUGGUGCGCGGUUAUACUUAUAUAUGUACAUAUGUAAGUAUAUGUAUCUUUAUAAAGUAUACUUUCUUUAUAUUUCAGUAUAUACAUAUGCUACUCAAAUGUCGCCAAAACUAGUUUUAUAAAGAUGUUGCAUAUUUUUGGUGAGCUGCUUAAACUUACUGUCGCCUUCCUACAGUGUCUCUCAAAUAUUCUACGUUUCAGUACCACUUAAAAAAGUUACAAGCAUACAUACAUACAUACAUACAUACGCCUUUUUGUAUGAUAUUUCCAAGGAAAUUUCGUGACGGGACUGAAAAAAAUUAAUAGUUAAAAAAAAACACCCUAAUGUAUA